rnacentral:tRNA from 1 species
GAAAUAACUCAGAUAAAGCUUCUAACUUUAUGAUAAUGAACUAAAUAUUCAUUUUAUUUCU